rnacentral:rRNA from 1 species
UUAAAAAGCUCGUAGUUGGAUUCGAAGCGUUAUACGCUGGCCGAGAGGAUGGUUGGACCUUUACGGCAUUUGCUAUUGCGUUCUACGUUCAGUGGCGUUCUUCUGGCCUUAACUGGCUGGUGGUAGGUCCUGGACCGUUUACCUUGAAUAAAUUAGGGUGUUCAAAGCAGGCUUUUAAGCCUUGAAUAGUUUAGCAUGGGAUAAUGGAAUACGAUCCUGGCCCGGUUCGUCGGUUAUCCGGGCUAGGAUAAUGAUUAAUAGAGAUAGUCGGGGUCAUUCAUAUUCAAUUGUCAGAGGUGAAAUUCUUAGAUUCUUUGAAGAUGAACUGCAGCGAAAGCGUUUGACAAGGAUGCUCUCAUUAAUCAAGAACGAAAGUUAGGGGAUCGAAGACGAUCAGAUACCGUCGUAGUCUUAACUAUAAACGAUACGAAUCGAGGAUUGGAGGAUGUUAAUCGUACGACUCUUUCGGAACUCUAGGAGAAAUCUUUGAAUCUUUGCGUUCUGGGGGGAGUAUGGUCGCAAGGCUGAAACUUAAAGGAAUUGACGGAAGGGCACA